rnacentral:rRNA from 1 species
CCAAUAGCGUAUAUUAAAGUUGUUGCAGUUAAAAAGCUCGUAGUUGAAUUUCGGGGUUAAUAAGUUGGUCGUACCUAUGGUAUGUACUGGCUUUAUUGAUUCCUACCUCUUGACGAACUAUGAUGCCAUUAAUUUGGUAUUGCAAGAAAUCAGGACUGUUACCUUGAAAAAAUUAGAGUGUUUAAAGCAGGCUUACGCUU